rnacentral:rRNA from 1 species
UACAGAGGUUUCAAGCGUUGUUCGGAUUUACUGGGCGUAAAGCGCACGUAGGCGGAUCGUUAAGUCGGGGGUGAAAUCCUGGAGCUCAACUCCAGAACUGCCUUCGAUACUGGCGAUCUUGAGUCCGGAAGAGGUGAGUGGAACUCCUAGUGUAGAGGUGGAAUUCGUAGAUAUUAGGAAGAACACCAGUGGCGAAGGCGGCUCACUGGUCCGGUACUGACGCUGAGGUGCGAAAGCGUGGGGAGCAAACAGG